AAUUCUCAACCUUAUUAGCUUUUGUUGAUAAUGGAUUGGAUGUGGGGGUUUAUUUGCUGGCUUCUUCACAGAGAUCAGCUCCCCUUAAAUGCAUUAGCUGGUGCCCCGCGUGGACCAUCUAUUGGUGUGAUAAUUAUCUACGCCGUGGAUGUCUGCAAUCAUAUGGGUUUUGCACUGCUUCUAACUGUCUGUUCAUUCGGACAAUACAUGACA
rnacentral:misc_RNA from 1 species